UUUCGGAGCCGCGCAUUCGCUCCGUUCUUUGAACUGAGAGGAAAGUCCAGACACCACAGGGCAGGGUUCCCUUCGUAAGCGGGGGCGCGUCGUUUCAAGGCGGCGCGACGGAUAGUAUCACAGAAAAUAGGUAGCCCUCCGGCUUAAGAUGAAUCUCACGUUCGUCCGGUCGGGGGGUGAUAGUGAAAAGGUGGGGUAAGAGCCCACCGCGCCGACGGCGACGUCGGCGGCACGAGAAACCCAACCCGGUGCAAGGCCAAAUAGGGGACGUGGCGGCCCGCCAUAUACGUCCCGGGUAGGCCGCACCCGGUGCGCGCGGCCGGCUUCGGCCGGCGGUCGCAGCCCCGGGCGGGCCCCGCAAGGGGCGCGAGAAAAAUGAAUGCGCCACGGCCGCAAGGCCGGGGACAAAAUCUGGCUUACAGGCUCCGAAACCUU
rnacentral:RNase_P_RNA from 1 species